AAUGAACGCUGGCGGUAGGCUUAACACAUGCAAGUCGGACGGAAACAAUAGAGGAGCUUGCUUUUCUAGUUGUCGAGUGGCGGACGGGUGAGUAACGCGUGGGAAUCUACCCUAUAGUUGGGGACAACAUGUGGAAACGCAUGCUAAUACCGAAUAUGAUCUACGGAUUAAAGGGGGCCUCUUCUUGAAAGCUCUCGCUAUAGGAUGAGCCCGCGUAAGAUUAGCUAGUUGGUGAGGUAAUGGCUCACCAAGGCGACGAUCUUUAGCUGGUUUGAGAGGAUGAUCAGCCACACUGGGACUGAGACACGGCCCAGACUCCUACGGGAGGCAGCAGUGGGGAAUAUUGCACAAUGGACGAAAGUCUGAUGCAGCCAUACCGCGUGUGUGAAGAAGGCCUUCGGGUUGUAAAGCACUUUCAAUUGUGAGGAAGGUAAUGUAAUUAAUACUUGCAUUGCUUGACGUUAACUUUAGAAGAAGCACCGGCUAACUCUGU
rnacentral:rRNA from 1 species